GACAGAGGGUGCAAACGUUGUUCGGAAUUACUGGGCGUAAAGCGCGUGUAGGCGGUCGUGCAAGUCGGGUGUGAAAGCCCUCGGCUCACCGGGGAAGUGCACUCGAAACUGCAUGACUAGAGUCUCGGAGAGGAUAGUGGAAUUCUCGGGUGUAGGAGGUGAAAUUCGUAGAUAUCGAGAGGAACACCGGUGGCGAAGGCGGCGAUCUGGACGAUGGACUGACGCUGAGACGCGAAAGCGUGGGGAGCGAACAGG
rnacentral:rRNA from 1 species